rnacentral:rRNA from 1 species
GCUUGCUCUUAUGAAGUUAGCGGCGGACGGGUGAGUAACACGUGGGUAACCUGCCCAUAAGACUGGGAUAACUCCGGGAAACCGGGGCUAAUACCGGAUAAUAUUUUGAACUGCAUGGUUCGAAAUUGAAAGGCGGCUUCGGCUGUCACUUAUGGAUGGACCCGCGUCGCAUUAGCUAGUUGGUGAGGUAACGGCUCACCAAGGCAACGAUGCGUAGCCGACCUGAGAGGGUGAUCGGCCACACUGGGACUGAGACACGGCCCAGACUCCUACGGGAGGCAGCAGUAGGGAAUCUUCCGCAAUGGACGAAAGUCUGACGGAGCAACGCCGCGUGAGUGAUGAAGGCUUUCGGGUCGUAAAACUCUGUUGUUAGGGAAGAACAAGUGCUAGUUGAAUAAGCUGGCACCUUGACGGUACCUAACCAGAAAGCCACGGCUAACUACGUGCCAGCAGCCGCGGUAAUACGUAGGUGGCAAGCGUUAUCCGGAAUUAUUGGGCGUAAAGCGCGCGCAGGUGGUUUCUUAAGUCUGAUGUGAAAGCCCACGGCUCAACCGUGGAGGGUCAUUGG